CUUUACUGACGCUAAAGCUCGAAGGUGCGGGUAUCGAACAGGAUUAGAUACCCUGGUAGUCCGCACGGUAAACGAUGGAUGCCCGCUGUUUGCGAUAUACUGUGAGCGGCCAAGAGAAAUCGUUAAGCAUCCCACCUGGGGAGUACGCCGGCAACGGUGAAACUCAAAGGAAUUGACGGGGGCCCGCACAAGCGGAGGAACAUGUGGUUUAAUUCGAUGAUACGCGAGGAACCUUACCCGGGCUUGAACUGCAGCGGAAGGAUACAGAGAUGUUGACGUCCUUCGGGACCGCUGUGGAGGUGCUGCAUGGUUGUCGUCAGCUCGUGCCGUGAGGUGUCGGCUUAAGUGCCAUAACGAGCGCAACCCCUUUCAUUAGUUGCCAUCACUUCGGGUGGGCACUCUGGUGAUACUGCCACCGUAAGGUGUGAGGAAGGUGGGGAUGACGUCAAAUCAGCACGGCCCUUACGUCCGGGGCUACACACGUGUUACAAUGGGUGAUACAGAUGGCAGGUUCACGGCAACGUGGAUCAAAUCUUGAAAGUCAUCCUCAGUUCGGAUUGGGGUCUGCAACCCGACCCCAUGAAGCUGGAUUCGCUAGUAA
rnacentral:rRNA from 1 species